rnacentral:rRNA from 1 species
UGGGGAAUUUUGGACAAUGGGCGCAAGCCUGAUCCAGCCAUGCCGCGUGCGGGAAGAAGGCCUUCGGGUUGUAAACCGCUUUUGUCAGGGAAGAAACGGCCGUCGCUAAUACCGAUGGCUAAUGACGGUACCUGAAGAAUAAGCACCGGCUAACUACGUGCCAGCAGCCGCGGUAAUACGUAGGGUGCAAGCGUUAAUCGGAAUUACUGGGCGUAAAGCGUGCGCAGGCGGUCAUGCAAGACAGAUGUGAAAUCCCCGGGCUCAACCUGGGAACUGCAUUUGUGACUGCAUGACUUGAGUACGGUAGAGGGGGAUGGAAUUCCGCGUGUAGCAGUGAAAUGCGUAGAUAUGCGGAGGAACACCGAUGGCGAAGGCAAUCCCCUGGACCUGUACUGACGCUCAUGCACGAAAGCGUGGGGAGCAAACAGG